GGGGAUGUAAUGGUCUCGACAUUGGUUUUCGCGCAUGUGGCGCACUCCGGAGGGCUCGGCUCCGUCAUCAACGGCACAGUUUAUUAACUGCAAAGAACAACAAUUCUUACGCUCUCGCUGCCUAGUAAGUAGCCUAGCGUGAUCUGUCCGGGUUCGUCCAAGGCUCGGAGCCAGGUCUCAAAUUAUUGGACUACGGUUAACGUUGCGACCCGAGGCGUUGACAAGAGAUAGUGGGUGCGCAUUUGGGGGUUAGCCAGGCUGACCGGCGCUCCCCAUUUGUUUAAUCCAAGUAGGUCAACUAUGAGUGUAGACCUGCGUGUGGGCGGGGCUGAUGGACAGGGGUUCGAUUCCCCUCAUCUCCAUUU
rnacentral:tmRNA from 1 species